CCAAUAGCGUAUAUUAAAGUUGUUGCAGUUAAAAAGCUCGUAGUUGAAUUUCGGGGUUAGUACGCUGGUCAUGCCUUCGGUAUGUACUGGUGUUACCGAUUCCUACCUUCUGAAGAACCGUCAUGUCAUUUAUUUGGUGUGGCGGGGAAUCAGGACUGUUACUUUGAAAAAAUUAGAGUGUUUAAAGCAGGCUCGCGCUUGAAUACAUUAGCAUGGAAUAAUGAAAUAGGACGUUCGAUCCUAUUUUGUUGGUUUCUAGGAUUGACGUAAUGAUUAAUAGGGAUAGUUGGGGGCAUUAGUAUUCAAUUGUCAGAGGUGAAAUUCUUGGAUUUAUUGAAGACUAACUACUGCGAAAGCAUUUGCCAAGGAUGUUUUCAUUAAUCAAGAACGAAAGUUAGGGGAUCGAAGACGAUCAGAUACCGUCGUAGUCUUAACCAUAAACUAUGCCGACUAGGGAUCGGAUGAUGUUAUUUUUAAUGACUCAUUCAGCGCCUUACG
rnacentral:rRNA from 1 species